rnacentral:rRNA from 1 species
UAGGGAAUAUUGGACAAUGGGCGCAAGCCUGAUCCAGCCAUGCCGCGUGCAGGAUGAAGGUCCUAUGGAUUGUAAACUGCUUUUGUACGGGAUAAAUAAGUCCUUGCGAGGACUGAUGAUAGUACCGUAAGAAUAAGCACCGGCUAACUCCGUGCCAGCAGCCGCGGUAAGACGGAGGGUGCAAGCGUUAUCCGGAUUCACUGGGUUUAAAGGGUACGUAGGCGGUCUUGUAAGUCAAUGGUGAAAUCUAGCAGCUCAACUGCUAACGUGCCAUUGAUACUGCUAGACUUGAGUAUAGUCGAGGUGGGCGGAAUUCUACAUGUAGCGGUGAAAUGCAUAGAUAUGUAGAGGAACACCAAUAGCGAAGGCAGCUCACUAGGCUAUUACUGACGCUGAGGUACGAAAGCGUGGGGAGCAAACAGGAUUAGAUACCCCCGUAGUCC